rnacentral:snRNA from 1 species
GUGCUCGCUUCCGCAGCACAUAUACUAAAAUUGGAACAAUCCAGAGAAGGUUCACAUGGCCCCUUUGCAAGAAUGACACCCAAAUUGGCGAAGCCUUCCGUAUAUUU